AUUGAACGCUGGCGGCAGGCUUAACACAUGCAAGUCGAGCGGAGAUGAGGUGCUUGCACCUUAUCUUAGCGGCGGACGGGUGAGUAAUGCUUAGGAAUCUGCCUAUUAGUGGGGGACAACAUUCCGAAAGGAAUGCUAAUACCGCAUACGUCCUACGGGAGAAAGCAGGGGAUCUUCGGACCUUGCGCUAAUAGAUGAGCCUAAGUCAGAUUAGCUAGUUGGUGGGGUAAUGGCCUACCAAGGCGACGAUCUGUAGCGGGUCUGAGAGGAUGAUCCGCCACACUGGGACUGAGACACGGCCCAGACUCCUACGGGAGGUAGCAGUGGGGAAUAUUGGACAAUGGGGGGAACCCUGAUCCAGCCAUGCCGCGUGUGUGAAGAAGGCCUUAUGGUUGUAAAGCACUUUAAGCGAGGAGGAGGCUACUGAGACUAAUACUCUUGGAUAGUGGACGUUACUCGCAGAAUAAGCACCGGCUAACUCUGUGCCAGCAGCCGCCGCAGUA
rnacentral:rRNA from 1 species